rnacentral:rRNA from 1 species
UACGUAGGGUGCGAGCGUUAAUCGGAAUUACUGGGCGUAAAGUGUGCGUAGGCGGUUCGUUAAGUCAGCUGUGAAAGCCCCGGGCUCAACCUGGGAACUGCGGUUGAAACUGGCGAACUAGAAUCUGGCAGAGGGGGGUGGAAUUCCACGUGUAGCAGUGAAAUGCGUAGAGAUGUGGAGGAACACCGAUGGCGAAGGCAGCCCCCUGGGCUGAGAUUGACGCUCAGGCACGAAAGCGUGGGGAGCAAACAGG